UUAACUCAAACUUGUAUGGAGUUGCGACGUUUGCCAACGUUUGCCGCUUGGCGCUGUUCCAACUGCAUACAAAUUUGAGUUA
rnacentral:pre_miRNA from 1 species